AAGAUAUUCUCAUAAAGUAAUUCUGGGGCCCUAUUACAAAUAUGUAGACUAUAACUUAAAAACUAUGUGGGACUAAAGUUUAUCGACUGAAAACUUGAACCCAGCUAAACUUCUCAACCAACUUAACGGUAAGGUUCUCUUCCUGAAGCCCCACGUACAAGCCCCGCAAGCACAGGGAUUCCUUCACGUAUAAGUCCUUCCCCAUUAAAAUCUUCCUUGUCCUAAAGGUAGAAAGGUGGGAAAUCAAACCUUGAGUGCCUGGUAAUCUUCCCAUGUUUCUUGCUCUGGUGGUAAGCCAUUCCACUGAACCAGCACUUGAGCUACAACUUUGUUGUCAUUCUGAAUCAUACGAUGCUCCAAAAUUUUAUCAGGUUGAGGAGAAUAUGCGCUAGAAAGUUCUAUGAUAGGGGGAUGUGAAAUACUACUUGGUAGCUUAUAACAUGCCUUGAAUUGUGACACAUGAAAAGUGGGAUGAAGCAGCAGUUGAGGGGGUAAAGAAAGCUUGUAACCGACUGGUCCAAACUUCUGUAAAAUUUGGUAAGGGCCAUAAAAUUUAGCUGAAAGUUUAGGGAAGUGUGUGGAUGGAAUUGUGACCUGUCUGUAAGGUUGAAUCUUUAAG
rnacentral:lncRNA from 1 species